rnacentral:snoRNA from 1 species
AAGUGACAUGAUGGCAUACCAUCUUUCGGGACUGAGUUGAUGUGAAGAGUAUUUGUUUUGCUGAUCGCUU